rnacentral:rRNA from 1 species
AUUGAACGCUGGCGGAAUGCUUUACACAUGCAAGUCGAACGGCAGCACGGGAGCUUGCUCCUGGUGGCGAGUGGCGAACGGGUGAGUAAUGCGUCGGAACGUACCGAGUAAUGGGGGAUAACGCAGCGAAAGCUGUGCUAAUACCGCAUACGCCCUGAGGGGGAAAGUGGGGGGAUCGCAAGACCUCACGUUAUUCGAGCGGCCGACGUCUGAUUAGCUAGUUGGUGGGGUAAAGGCCUACCAAGGCGACGAUCAGUAGCGGGUCUGAGAGGAUGAUCCGCCACACUGGAACUGAGACACGGUCCAGACUCCUACGGGAGGCAGCAGUGGGGAAUUUUGGACAAUGGGGGCAACCCUGAUCCAGCCAUUCCGCGUGAGUGAAGAAGGCCU